GAAAGCUAAUGCUCUGUGAACAUCCAAUGUGUGGAGUGAGGCCUCCUCCCUGUCCGCAUGUGGCUUAGGAAAAAAUACAAACAGGCCUUCUCGACCUCAGUCAGCCACGGAGUACUGCGAGGUUGGGGUGACAGAGGCAUCCCAUAUCUUGUGAUAGAAGGUACGUAAACACCAACAGUUUUUAAGGUCGCCCGUGAGUCUUUUAGGGUGUGUAAUGAAACAUCAGUUUUGUCUGCAAAUAAUUUCUGCCCCUCGAAAGAUAAGUCCUCGACCAUUGCCUAGACCUCCCUUGGGGACCUGGUGAGGUGGAGCUAUAUUGCAUGGCGCAUAACCACGGAUGUCAUGAUGGAUCAUGCUGUCGUGUCUUCCAAGUCAAGGGAAGGCCGUCCUGGAGAUGAGACCCCCUUCAGAAAUGUUUACCUUCUACUGUUUUUUUUGACAUCUUGUAAAUUUUCAAUAGACGUCGACCUUUGGAGAACAGAUUGUGUGUAUAUUUGGCUAGCAGGGCAGCAUAGUUAGCUAUGCGGAACUGAAGUGUAGCUGAGGAAUAAGCUUUCUGCCUGAAAAGGUCUAGCCUGUUCCAGUCCUUAUUGUAUGGGGUCUUUCGAGACUGGUGUUGUUUGCCCCCUUCACUACUAGGGAGUUUGGUGUAGGGUGUGUAAAUAGGAACUCAGCCCCUUUUGCUGGCACAUAAUAUUUCUUGUUGGAUCUUUUACAUGUGGCUGGAGCUGAAGCAGGUGUCUGCCGUAUUAUUUUUGCAGGCUCCAUGACUGAAUCGCUAAUUGGCAAAGCUAUCCUUGCCGAUGGGGAUGCCUGGAGUACGUCUGAGAUUGUGUUGGGCUUCUGGUAGCUGAGCCAACGAAAUGUCCAGAGAUUCAGCAAUUCCUUUGAAGCAGUUCUGAAAGGAUUUGAAAUCAUCCACCAUGGUGGAAGGUGGUGGCAUUAUGAUUUCGUAUAGUGAUGAAGAUGAGAGCUGAGUAGGUGGCGAAGUGUCAUGUUCGGCUGUGUUCUCAGGUUCCUCAGUGUCUUCUUCUGUUUCUGAGGGUGCCUGGACAGUUGAAGGGUACAAGGCCAGGGGACCUAGGCAGGCUAGGAAGCCUUCAGUUGGACUCUAUACACUGCCCCAAGAUCCCAGUAUGACCAGUUAGCUGGGAAUGGUAUGGGGGGGUGGUGCCCAUGGGUGACCAUAUCAUCCUCGUAUAUCUGCAGAUGGUUGGUGAUGAAAUGGUCAUGGCUUGGGUGAGGAGUGGAGAGGAGUAUAUAUUACUGCCUUGUCCUUUUCUUCUUCAUCACUGGAGACCGGGGGGAAGGAGGGAGUGUGGGCUGAUCUGCAGGUAGUAGUCAGCUGGCUUGAUACCAAUCUGGAUGGGUACCCUUGGUGCCGAGAAAAGGAGAUUCAGGUGUUAAGAUCACUAUCUGGUCCACAUGCCUCAUGAAUUGCGGAGGAAACAUGAGUCUCGGUGCCAAAGACGGAAUGGUGGACAGCCCAGGAGCAUGAGUUGAAGCUGCUAGUGCUAAGAAUUUAGAGCUGCAUAGCACAGGUACAGCAGGUGGUGCCAUUGUACUGCUCAGUCCAGAGAUGAUCUUCAGUUCCAUGAGUGCUGUUAUGUUUCACUUUAAUGUGUAACUCUCCAUUAGAGUUGCCCACGUAGGGUCUUUAGCUCUUCAGGAACUCUCGGAGCCAGAUGUUCCUGGUGCCUCAUGGUCCAGCACACUCGGUGCCAUUGAUACCAUGGCAAAUUUUUCAGUUGGGAAUCAGUUUCUUUUUAGAUGCUUCUCAGUGCAGAGAUGUCUGCAACUGCUUUUUGGUAGCCUUUCUAGGAGUAGGCUCCUUGGCAGCCAUUGUUGAAGUGGAGCCCAUGUCAGAGACUGGCAAUCGUUGGCCAGCGGGUGACCUGGACUCAGGGAUCAACCAAGGCAGCGGACACACUGAGGGUGACCAGCAGAGGCCAGUAUGGAGAGUCUGCAAGUCAGGCAGUGUUUAAAGCCAUGUGAGCUGGGCAUGCCUGAGGGAGUCUGUCUCAGAGAAAAAUAUAAGGGUAAACCCUGUUUGAGGCUAAGGCUGUACAAUUGCUAGAGAUGCAGAGGUAGAUAGGAAAGGUAAAGGAAAAAUAUAUUUUUUCAAUUUUAAAGGAAUUAGAGUAAGGCAAGGAUUAAGUUAGUUGUAGUUAGUUUCCCUAAAACUAUCACUAUGAACUAUUUAUUAGAAAUUUUAUUGAGGUAAGAGAGGGCACUGCUGAUUGCUCCGACUCAAGCCAAAGGCAGUAGAGAAGGAAUUGGGGGAUGGUUGGCUGCACACCACUAUGUAACUGCUUGGAGCGGUGUGAGAUGACUACAGCGCAUGCGCAGCCCAACUGGGCACUGCUACCACAAAUCUCUGAUUACAGGCGCAGUGUGUCAAGACACCUAAACUGGAGCAUCCACAGGGACACUCCUUGAAGAAUCUACCAUUUCCCUCAAAGUCAAUGAGGAAAGAGGACUCAGUGUUUGGAACUAAUAAGUGACAAAAGAAAGUUUAACAUUAAACAUUCAUAAUGGAAAACAGUUCCAAAAAAUUAAAAACACAAAGAUUUAGAUGAAAACUCAGAUUCUGGAAGACAAUUUUACAGCAAGAAACAAAUUAUAUCCACAGAGCUGCAGAAUACAAAGGAUCCUGACGACAUAUUAGUUAUUUGAUCUAAAAGAUACAUAUAGCACACAGAAAAGUUAACUAAAUAAGCAGUUUUUAAAUUCAACAGAAUUUUUAGAGCUUUCACAGGAACAAAUUAAUUAUGUAAUAUCUCCUAGGACUACACAGUUCUCUAUAGAC